rnacentral:tRNA from 1 species
GCAAGAGUAGCUUAAUGGUAAAGCGCAAUUUUGCCAAAAUUGAUUAUGCGAGUUCAAGUCUCGUCUCUUGCU